rnacentral:rRNA from 1 species
GACGAACGCUGGCGGCGUGCUUAACACAUGCAAGUCGAACGGAAAGGCCCUGCUUUUGUGGGGUGCUCGAGUGGCGAACGGGUGAGUAACACGUGAGUAACCUGCCCUUGACUUUGGGAUAACUUCAGGAAACUGGGGCUAAUACCGGAUAGGAGCUCCUGCUGCAUGGUGGGGGUUGGAAAGUUUCGGCGGUUGGGGAUGGACUCGCGGCUUAUCAGCUUGUUGGUGGGGUAGUGGCUUACCAAGGCUUUGACGGGUAGCCGGCCUGAGAGGGUGACCGGCCACAUUGGGACUGAGAUACGGCCCAGACUCCUACGGGAGGCAGCAGUGGGGAAUAUUGCACAAUGGGCGGAAGCCUGAUGCAGCAACGCCGCGUGCGGGAUGACGGCCUUCGGGUUGUAAACCGCUUUCGCCUGUGACGAAGCGUGAGUGACGGUAAUGGGUAAAGAAGCACCGGCUAACUACGUGCCAGCAGCCGCGGUGAUACGUAGGGUGCGAGCGUUGUCCGGAUUUAUUGGGCGUAAAGGGCUCGUAGGUGGUUGAUCGCGUCGGAAGUGUAAUCUUGGGGCUUAACCCUGAGCGUGCUUUCGAUACGGGUUGACUUGAGGAAGGUAGGGGAGAAUGGAAUUCCUGGUGGAGCGGUGGAAUGCGCAGAUAUCAGGAGGAACACCAGUGGCGAAGGCGGUUCUCUGGGCCUUUCCUGACGCUGAGGAGCGAAAGCGUGGGGAGCGAACAGGCUUAGAUACCCUGGUAGUCCACGCUGUAAACGGUGGGUACUAGGUGUGGGGUCCAUUCCACGGGUUCCGUGCCGUAGCUAACGCUUUAAGUACCCCGCCUGGGGAGUACGGCCGCAAGGCUAAAACUCAAAGGAAUUGACGGGGCCCCGCACAAGCGGCGGAGCAUGCGGAUUAAUUCGAUGCAACGCGUAGAACCUUACCUGGGUUUGACAUGGAUCGGGAGUGCUCAGAGAUGGGUGUGCCUCUUUUGGGGUCGGUUCACAGGUGGUGCAUGGCUGUCAUCAGCUCGUGUCGUGAGAUGUUGGGUUAAGUCCCGCAACGAGCGCAACCCUUGUUCACUGUUGCCAGCACGUUAUGGUGGGGACUCAGUGGAGACCGCCGGGGUCAACUCGGAGGAAGGUGGGGAUGACGUCAAGUCAUCAUGCCCCUUAUGUCCAGGGCUUCACGCAUGCUACAAUGGCUGGUACAGAGAGUGGCGAGCCUGUGAGGGUGAGCGAAUCUCGGAAAGCCGGUCUCAGUUCGGAUUGGGGUCUGCAACUCGACCUCAUGAAGUCGGAGUCGAUAGUAAUCGCAGAUCAGCAACGCUGCGGUGAAUACGUUCCCGGG